rnacentral:rRNA from 1 species
AUCGAGUGGCGAACGGGUGAGUAACGCGUGAGGAACCUGCCUCAAAGAGGGGGACAACAGUUGGAAACGACUGCUAAUACCGCAUAAGCCCACGGUACCGCAUGGCACUGAGGGAAAAGGAUUUAUUCGCUUUAGGAUGGACUCGCGUCCAAUUAGCUAGUUGGUGAGGUAAUGGCCCACCAAGGCGACGAUCGGUAGCCGGACUGAGAGGUUGAACGGCCACAUUGGGACUGAGACACGGCCCAGACUCC